UAAAGUUUAAAACAGGUGUGUUGC
rnacentral:siRNA from 1 species